GAAAAGUGUUCCACUGAUGCUUAGUUCACAUUCCAACAAAGCCUAUAUAGAAAAGUUCUCUUAAUUUGGGGUGGUUUUUGCUAAUUUCACUAGGAGUCCAAUGGUUUAAAUCUCAUUUCCCUGAUUUCAUCCUUAAUGCUAAUUUCCUCUAAUUGGGAGCUGUAUGUUUACUCUUGCGAUUACUUCCUUGUCUCUAGUUUCAUUCAAUAAGUUAAAGAAUGGUAGCCAUGCCACCUAAUUUCAUAUUUUUUCUUUUAUGUAGGUGGUGCUGAC
rnacentral:misc_RNA from 1 species